GCUUGCUUCUCUGAUGUUAGCGGCGGGAGGGUGAGUAACACGUGGAUAACCUACCUAUAAGACUGGGAUAACUUCGGGAAACCGGAGCUAAUACCGGAUAAUAUUUUGAACCGCAUGGUUCAAAAGUGAAAGACGGUCUUGCUGUCACUUAUAGAUGGAUCCGCGCUGCAUUAGCUAGUUGGUAAGGUAACGGCUUACCAAGGCAACGAUGCAUAGCCGACCUGAGAGGGUGAUCGGCCACACUGGAACUGAGACACGGUCCAGACUCCUACGGGAGGCAGCAGUAGGGAAUCUUCCGCAAUGGGCGAAAGCCUGACGGAGCAACGCCGCGUGAGUGAUGAAGGUCUUCGGAUCGUAAAACUCUGUUAUUAGGGAAGAACAUAUGUGUAAGUAACUGUGCACAUCUUGACGGUACCUAAUCAGAAAGCCACGGCUAACUACGUGCCAGCAGCCGCGGUAAUACGUAGGUGGCAAGCGUUAUCCGGAAUUAUUGGGCGUAAAGCGCGCGUAGGCGGUUUUUUAAGUCUGAUGUGAAAGCCCACGGCUCAACCGUGGAGGGUCAUUGGAAACUGGAAAACUUGAGUGCAGAAGAGGAAAGUGGAAUUCCAUGUGUAGCGGUGAAAUGCGCAGAGAUAUGGAGGAACACCAGUGGCGAAGGCGACUUUCUGGUCUGUAACUGACGCUGAUGUGUGAAAGCGUGGGGAUCAAACAGGAUUAGAUACCCUGGUAGUCCACGCCGUAAACGAUGAGUGCUCAAGUGUUAGGGGGUUUCCGCCCCCUUAGUGCUGCAGCUAACGCAUUAAGCACUCCGCC
rnacentral:rRNA from 1 species